AAAAGCUCGUAGUUGAAUUUCUGUUUAGGACAUUUAGUCCGCCCUCUGGRWGAGUACUGUCAUGGCCUGAGCAUCUUCUUGGAGAACGUGCUGCACUUGAUUGUGUGGUAUGGUAUCCAGGACUUUUACUUUGGGGAAAUUAGAGUGUUUCAAGCAGGCGCACGCCGUGAAUACAUUAGCAUGGAAUGAUAAGAUAGGACCUUGGUUCUGUUUUGUCGGUUUCUAGAGCCGAGGUAAUGAUUAAUAGGGGUAGCUGGGGGCAUUCGUAUUUAACUGUCAGAGGUGAAAUUCUUGGAUUUGUUAAAGACGGACCACUGCGAAAGCAUUUGCCAAGGAUGUUUUCAUUGAUCAAGAACGAAAGUUAGGGGAUCGAAGACGAUCAGAUACCGUCCUAGUCUUAACCAUAAACUAUGCCGACUAGAGAUUGGAGGUCGUUAUUCCUAACGACUCUUUCAGCACCUUACGAGAAAUCAUAAGUCUUUGGGUUCCGGGGGGAGUAUGGUCGCAAGUCUGAAACUUAAAGGAAUUGACGGAAGGGCACCACCAGGAGUGGAGCCUGCGGCUUAAUUUGACUCAACACGGGGAACUUACCAGGUCCAGACAUAGUUAGGAUUGACAGAU
rnacentral:rRNA from 1 species